GCCAGUUUGGCUCAGUGGAUAGAGCAUUGGCCUAUGGACCGAAAGGUCCUGGGUUCGAUUCCCGGUCAAGGGCA
rnacentral:tRNA from 1 species